GAUGAAGAAACGUAGCGAAAUGCGAUAAGUAAUGUGAAUUGCAGAAUUCAGUGAAUCAUCGAAUCUUUGAACGCACAUUGCGCCCCUUGGUAUUCCGGGGGGCAUGCCUGUUCGAGCGUCAUUUCAACCCUCAAGCUCUGCUUGGUAUUGGGCCCGGUGGGCGAUUGCCUACCAGCCUUAAAGAGAGUGGCGGUGCCCCGCGGCCCUGAGCGUAGUAACUACUCCCGCUAUAGGUGUCCACGGGCUCACCAGCCAGCAACCCCAACUUUCUAUGGUUGACCUCGGAUCAGGUAGGGAUACCCGCUGAACUUAAGCAUAUCAAUAAGCGGAGGA
rnacentral:misc_RNA from 1 species